rnacentral:tRNA from 1 species
GGUAGAGCAGUUUGGUAGCUCACAAAGCCCAUAACCUUGGGGUUACGGGUUCGA